GUUUUAGUAUACGAAUUUAGGAGUGGGGGUGGACACAAAUAUUUAGACCAUGCUUUUUGUCAAAUCUAAUUUUAAGGUAAGAGUCUACUUCUCUAGAGUACCUGCAGACUGAGCCUCCAGGCCCACCCCAGCACUAGGUUAGAUCUUACAGCCCUGAACUCUAGGCCUGCUUGGCAGACUUUCUGCUGCACCAUUUUAGGCUGAUUCCAGAGGUCCCAGGCUCCAGACGGGUCCUAAUGCCAGGCCAAUCCCACAUAUUUAGUCAGUAGGCCUGGCUUAGGCUCUGGACCCAUGCCAGCACCAGGCCAACCCCUAGGCCCAUCCCAGUGGACUCAGGUGCCAGGUCCAUCCCAGUGCUAGGUCAGCUCUUAUGGACUCAGGCUUCAGAUUGGCUCCACAAAUACAGUAUCCUGGCCCACUUUUUUUUUUGAGAUAGAGCCUCACUCUGUGGCACAGGCUAGAGUACAGUGGCAUGAUCUCAGCUCACUGCAGCCUUCGUCUUCUAGGUUCAAGUGAUUCUUGUGUCUUAGCUGCCCAAGUAGCUGGGAUUAAAGGCACAUGCCACCAAACCCAGCUAAUUUUUGUAUUUUCAGUAAAGAUGGGGUUUCACCAUGUUGGCUAGGCUGGUCUCGAACUCCUGGCCUCAAAUGAUUUGCCCUCUUCUGUCUCCCAAAGUGUUGCAAUUACAGGCUUCUGCCACUGCACCUGGCCUCUACUCUUAUAAACCCAAGCUCUAGAACCAGCUCUGUGGAUCCAAUCAAUAGGUCCAUCCCAGUGGAUUAAGGCUCCAGGCCCAUUACUGCAGACCUAGGUGCCAGGCCUACCUAUCUGCUGACCCAGACACCAAGUCAGCCUACUCAAGGACUCCAGCAGCAAGCCUGCCUAUAGAUUACAUCAGACAGCCUGCCUAGAAUUUUUAGACAGGCUUACUGGUAAAGGACUUUACCAGUAAAACAAACAAAGCCAGUCUACAAAGACUUGAAUACAUCUUUAAAUGUGCAAACACUAACAUCUGGCCAAGAACAGUCAGGGAAACAUGAUACCACCAAAGGAACAAUAUAAAGCACCAGUAACAGACCCUAAAGAAAUGGAGAUUUGUGAAUUGCCUGACAAAAAAUUUUAAACUAAUUG
rnacentral:lncRNA from 1 species